CAGUCCGGGCAGGUGUGGCCCCCGGACUUCAACUUCGACG
rnacentral:tRNA from 1 species